AGGCCAUGGUGUGGGCAAACUCGUUGGAGUUCUUUAUAGCGAUCCCAAGCCUCAUAUAGGGAUUCAUUUUCAUGUUGGGUGAAUGGGGUUAUUUCUUUGAUAAGCCU
rnacentral:snoRNA from 1 species